AUUGAACGCUGGCGGCAUGCCUUACACAUGCAAGUCGAACGGCAGCACGGGAGCAAUCCUGGUGGCGAGUGGCGAACGGGUGAGUAAUAUAUCGGAACGUGCCCAGUCGUGGGGAUAACGUAGCGAAAGCUACGCUAAUACCGCAUACGAUCUAUGGAUGAAAGCGGGGGAUCGCAAGACCUCGCGCGAUUGGAGCGGCCGAUAUCAGAUUAGGUAGUUGGUGAGGUAAAGGCUCACCAAGCCGACGAUCUGUAGCUGGUCUGAGAGGACGACCAGCCACACUGGGACUGAGACACGGCCCAGACUCCUACGGAGGCAGCAGUGGGGGAAUUUUGGACAAUGGGCGCAAGCCUGAUCCAGCAAUGCCGCGUGCAGGAUGAAGGCCUUCGGGUUGUUAACUA
rnacentral:rRNA from 1 species